rnacentral:tRNA from 1 species
UGGGGGAUGGUGUAAUGGUAACACUGCGGUUUUUGGUACCGUCAUUCUAGGUUCGAGUCCUAGUCCCCCAGCCA